rnacentral:rRNA from 1 species
CUACGGGUCGCUGCAGUGAGGAAUAUUGCACAAUGGGGGGAACCCUGAUGCAGCAACGCCGCGUGGAGGAUGACGCAUUUCGGUGUGUAAACUCCUUUUAUAUGUCAAGAAAAUGACGGUAGCAUAUGAAUAAGCACCGGCUAACUCCGUGCCAGCAGCCGCGGUAAUGCGGAGGGUGCAAGCGUUACUCGGAAUCACUGGGCGUAAAGGACGCGUAGGCAGGUUGGAAAGUCAGGUGUGAAAUCCUACAGCUUAACUGUAGAACUGCACUUGAAACUUCUAAUCUAGAGUAUGGGAGGGGGAGAUGGAAUUAGUGGUGUAGGGGUAAAAUCCGUAGAUAUCACUAGGAAUACCUAAAGCGAAGGCGAUCUCCUGGAACAUUACUGACGCUAAGGCGUGAAAGCGUGGGGAGCAAACAGGAUUAGAUACCCGCGUAGUC